rnacentral:rRNA from 1 species
GACGUAGGUGGCGAACGUUAUCCGGAAUUAUUGGGCGUAAAGGAUGCGUAGAUGGUGUAGUAAGUUAUCGGUGGCAAAUCGAGGCUCAACCUCGUGGAAGUCGGUAAUACUGCUAUGCUAGAGGAUAGGAGAGGUUAACGGGACUCCCUGUGGAGCGGUGAAAUGCGUAGAUAUAGGGAAGAACACCAAUCAGGCGAAGGCAGUUAACUAUUCUAUUCCUGACAUUGAGGCAUGAAAGCGUGGGGAGCAAAACGG